rnacentral:rRNA from 1 species
UGAGGAAUAUUGGUCAAUGGACGCAAGUCUGAACCAGCCAAGUAGCGUGCAGGAUGACGGCCCUAUGGGUUGUAAACUGCUUUUAUAUGGGGAUAAAGUGGGGAACGUGUUCCCUUUUGCAGGUACCUUAUGAAUAAGGACCGGCUAAUUCCGUGCCAGCAGCCGCGGUAAUACGGUAGGUUCGGGCGUUAUCCGGAUUUAUUGGGUUUAAAGGGAGCGUAGGCCGUCUGGUAAGCGUGUUGUGAAAUGUAGGAGCUCAAAUUCUAGAUUGCCGCGCGGACUGUCAGACUUGAGUGCGCACAACGUAGGCGGAAUUCAUGGUGUAGCGGUGAAAUGCUUAGAUAUCAUGAAGAACUCCGAUUGCGAAGGCAGCUUACGGGGGCGCAACUGACGCUGAAGGUCGAAGGUGCGGGUAUCGAACAGG